AGGCCUAUACUUUCAGCGAUCAUUUCUGUAGUUGGUCACUAGAGGAGCGUGAUCAUGUUUGACUGGCAUCACAAGCCAUGAGGAGGAUCGAAGUGUUCUCUCCUGCGUGAAGCAGGCAGGUGGUGCUGCUUGGGCAGGAGCUGCCUGCCAUUGAUGACUGUUCCUGGCCCUGCUUGCGGGGCCAGGAGAGAGUGAGCAUGGGCUGAGUGGA
rfam:Phalacrocorax carbo contig87093, whole genome shotgun sequence.